rnacentral:rRNA from 1 species
UACAGAGGGUGCAAGCGUUGUUCGGAAUUAUUGGGCGUAAAGAGCGCGCAGGCGGUCGUUCAAGUCGAGUGUGAAAGCCCCCGGCUCAACUGGGGAGGGUCACUCGAUACUGGUCGACUCGAAGGCAGGAGAGGGAAGUGGAAUUCCCGGUGUAGUGGUGAAAUGCGUAGAUAUCGGGAGGAACACCAGUGGCGAAGGCGACUUCCUGGCCUGUUCUUGACGCUGAGGCGCGAAAGCUAGGGGAGCAAACGGG